rnacentral:rRNA from 1 species
AGUGAACGCUGGCGGUAGGCCUAACACAUGCAAGUCGAACGGCAGCACAGUAAGAGCUUGCUCUUACGGGUGGCGAGUGGCGGACGGGUGAGGAAUACAUCGGAAUCUACUUUUUCGUGGGGGAUAACGUAGGGAAACUUACGCUAAUACCGCAUACGACCUACGGGUGAAAGCAGGGGAUCUUCGGACCUUUCGCGAUUGAAUGAGCCGAUGUCGGAUUAGCUAGUUGGCGGGGUAAAGGCCCACCAAGGCGACGAUCCGUAGCUGGUCUGAGAGGAUGAUCAGCCACACUGGAACUGAGACACGGUCCAGACUCCUACGGGAGGCAGCAGUGGGGAAUAUUCGACAAUGGGCGCAAGCUUGAUCCAGCCAUACCGCGUGGGUGAAGAAGGUCUUCGGGUUGUAAAGCCCUUUUGUUGGGAAAGAAAAACAGCAGGUUAAUAUCCCGCUGUUCUGACGGUACCCAAAGAAUAAGCCCCGGCUAACUUCGUG